CAACUGCACCGGGCAACCGCAGGCGCGAGCGCCGAAAGGCGGCGUCUGAGGAAAGUCCGAACUCCACAGGGCAGGGCGCUGGAUAACGUCCAGUGGGGGUGACCCCAAGGAAAGUGCCGCAGAAAAGAAAACGCCGAAUGCGGUCCUCCUGGACUGUGCAUGGCAAAGCUGAAACGGUGCGGUAAGAGCGCACCGGCGGCUGAGCAAUCAGCCGGCCUGGUAAACCCCGCCUGGAGCAAGACCGAAUAGGAGGGGAGAAAGUGGCCCGCUUUUCCCUCGGGUUAGGUCGCAGGAGGCGGCAGGCGACUGCCGUCCCAGAUAAAUGGUUGCCGCCGGUCGCAUGCGCGACCGGAACAGAAUUCGGCUUACAGGCGCAGUUGGUUU
rnacentral:RNase_P_RNA from 1 species